GGUUAAGCGACUAAGCGUACACGGUGGAUGCCCUGGCAGUCAGAGGCGAUGAAGGGCGUGCUAAUCUGCGAUAAGCGCCGGUAAGGUGAUAUGAACCGUUAUAACCGGAAUGAGGCGAACCGGGGGAACUGAAACAUCUAAGUACCCCGAGGAAAAGAAAUCAACCGAGAUUCCCCCAGUAGCGGCGAGCGAACGGGGAGGAGCCCAGAGCCUGAAUCAGCAUGUGUGUUAGUGGAAGUGUCUGGAAAGGCGCGCGAUACAGGGUGACAGCCCCGUACACAAAAGCGCAUGUGCUGUGAGCUCGAUGAGUAGGGCGGGACACGUGGUAUCCUGUCUGAAUAUGGGGGGACCAUCCUCCAAGGCUAAAUACUCCUGACUGACCGAUAGUGAACCAGUACCGUGAGGGAAAGGCGAAAAGAACCCCGGCGAGGGGAGUGAAAAAGAACCUGAAACCGUGUACGUACAAGCAGUGGGAGCACAGGUUUACCUGUGUGACUGCGUACCUUUUGUAUAAUGGGUCAGCGACUUAUAUUCUGUAGCAAGGUUAACCGAAUAGGGGAGCCGGAGGGAAACCGAGUCUUAAUUGGGCGUUAAGUUGCAGGGUAUAGACCCGAAACCCGGUGAUCUAGCCAUGGGCAGGUUGAAGGUUGGGUAACACUAACUGGAGGACCGAACCGACUAAUGUUGAAAAAUUAGCGGAUGACCUGUGGCUGGGGGUGAAAGGCCAAUCAAACCGGGAGAUAGCUGGUUCUCCCCGAAAGCUAUUUAGGUAGCGCCUCGUGAACUCAUCUCCGGGGGUAGAGCACUGUUUCGGCUAGGGGGCCAUCCCGGCUUACCAACCCGAUGCAAACUGCGAAUACCGGAGAAUGUUAUCACGGGAGACACACGGCGGGUGCUAACGUCCGUCGUGAAGAG
rnacentral:rRNA from 1 species